rnacentral:misc_RNA from 1 species
CAGUCCCUCCCUGUAAUCUGUAAUCUGUAAUUUACUUCGCAGUAAGUUAAUUCCUAUAUCGAGGGCGUACUCCUGUAAAACGCGGGUGUAAACUCUCCGAGCUAAAGACUCCUUCGCUUCUGAAUGGCCUCGCUGACGAAUGGACGUGUACUUGCAUAUCUGCAUAAGUGAGCACACAAAUGUACAUGCGUACUUGCUCGAGCAUUAUAUACGCCUCUGGGUGGUGAUCGAGCUCGUCAUUUGCGUGCAAGCCACGAGUGCGAGAGAUUAUUAAUCGCACCUGAAGUCGACGAUUCGUCCUCGAUACUCCGAUAAAGGAAAUUCGCCGAUUGUUCAACAAUCACUUCCUCCGUUAAUUUCCCCGAGAAACAAGUGUCGUGAUUUAAAUUGGCCCCGUUAUUUCCGUCGGAAAGAUUUUUGAAGAUAUUUCAAGACGCUUUUCUUCGCGCCUAUUAGCGAUGGCUUUUCGACGGUAAUUUAUUCAGGAGUGUUCGGGAACUUAUGACAGUUUUUUCGGGAAUUUUAUUCGGACAAUAUUAGGUAUGGCGGUUGCAAGAAAUAUUAGGCAAAGGAGAGUUCCCUUAAGAUAGAAGUGACACCGUGGAUUAUGGGAACUUAUCGGGGCGAAAUGGCCGUCGAAGGAAACGAAAAUUCGUCCCCCACGUGGAGAAUCAGCGAAGGAGUACCUUUGACCGAUUUAAGGGAUCGAUCCUGCGAGGCCGAUCUCGUUCAAUUCCGGCGAUAUGACACCUUGAAGAUGGAAACGGCGGCGAUUGAUGUGACACCCCGGACGACGAUGUCGAGAAAUUUUGUCAAUGGGGAUAACUCGUUGCACGUCUCCUUCAGGCCGAUUAUAAUCAUGGCUCAAUGUUUCUCCGUACUUCCGGUCAGCGGUAUUAAUUCCCCCGAUCCUUCGAACUUGAAAUUCACCUGGAGGAGUCCACGGAUCCUCUACUGUGGGAUCUCCUUUUUAAGUGCAUCGCUUAUGACGAUCUUUUGCGUGAUCCAUCUGGCCAGGACUGACAUCACCUCGACGAAGACUACGAGCGCUGUAUUUUUUGGGACCUCUUGCAUGACGACUUUGCUCUUCCUGCAACUCGCCACUCGAUGGCCGUCCUUUGUCCUGGCUUGGAAUAAAUUCGAACGGGAGAGAACUUCUCCCAGAAACGUUUCCAGGAUCAGUUUGGCCCUUCGGUUCAGAAUUCUCACGGUAGUCAUCAUGGGCUUGGCUUUCGUCGAGCACACUUUGUCGAUUCUUUCUGGAUACAGCAGUGCCGUGGAGUGCGUUGCAGUCCGCGGAGAUUCCGACAUCCUUAGCGUCUACUUUGAGUCGCAAUUCCCUCAGGUUUUCACAAGGACCCCCUACGCCCACUGGAAAGGAGCAGUAGUCCUGAUGCUGAACAUUCUGAGCACCUUCUCCUGGAACUUCAUGGACCUCUUCUUAAUCCUUAUCAGCGUCGCUUUGACCGACCAGUUUCGCCAGCUAAAUCGAAGACUGGACUUGACGAAGGAAAAGAUUAUGUCCGAUCGUUGGUGGUCCGAGGCGAGGACCGACUACAAUCGAUUGGCCAUCUUGAGCAGAUUGGUCGACUCCAACGUGUCCGAAAUCGUCCUUCUCUCCUUUGCAAAUAACCUUUACUUCAUCUGCAUCCAACUUCUGAAUUCUGUCAAUUACAAGCCAAUGCGAGAUGCCAUACACACAAUUUACUUCUGCUUCUCCUUCGGGUUCCUUCUUGCAAGGACAGCAGCGAUGUCCUUGUUCGCAGCAGCAGUUCACGACGAGUCCUUGCUUCCUGCCCCGGUUCUUUACGGCGUUUCCAGUUCCAGCUACUCCUCAGAGGUCCUCAGGUUCCUUCUGCAAGUUACCACCGACAACAUUGCAUUAUCGGGCAUGAAGUUCUUUUCGAUCACCAGGAGCUUGGUUCUUACCGUCGCAGGGACCAUUGUCACCUACGAAUUGGUCCUGGUCCAGUUUAAUGCCGUCCAACAAUCGGACUCUUUGCAAAUCAAUAUUACUACUGCUUGCAUGGUAAAGUAGGAGCCGUAUAAACUUGUACAAUAUGCUUCGGAGUUUCGGCAAUCAUUUCCAUGCCUGUUUUCUGCACUCUCGACACGCUCGAAUAAAGUUUCUACUUCCUGCCGUGAUUUGGAUUAGAACGAGUCUAUUUGCACGGAAACUGUUGGCUUUUCACAUUCUAAUACACGCUGGACCAACUGAGAUCUCAUUACCCUGCGUUGAUUUACCUUUUGACUCAACUAUCUCGUUUACAACUUC